rnacentral:rRNA from 1 species
CUACAGAGGGUGCAAGCGUUAAUCGGAAUUACUGGGCGUAAAGCGCGCGUAGGCGGUUUAAUCAGUCGGAUGUGAAAGCCCCGGGCUCAACCUGGGAACUGCAUUCGAUACUGUUAAGCUAGAGUAUGGUAGAGGGAAGUGGAAUUCCAGGUGUAGCGGUGAAAUGCGUAGAUAUCUGGAGGAACAUCAGUGGCGAAGGCGACUUCCUGGACCAAUACUGACGCUGAGGUGCGAAAGCGUGGGGAGCAAACAGGAUUAGAUACCCUAGUAGUCC